rnacentral:rRNA from 1 species
CUUGGAGGAAUGUAUAGCAAUUGCUAUUUGCACUAAUGUUUUAGUGUAAAAUCGACUUUGUCGAAUAAAAUUCUGGAUAGAAUUAUGAUAAUGACAUUACCUGUCCAUAAGUCUUGACCAAAUUACGUGCCAGCAGUCGCGGUAAUACGUAGAAGACAAGUGUUAUUCAUCUUUAAUAGGUUUAAAGGGUACUUAGACGGUAAAUAAAGCCUCCAAAAGGGACUAGUUUGCUAGAGUUUUAUGUGAAGGAGUUUUAAAGUACUACUGGUGUAGAGAUGAAAUUCAGUUAUACCUUACAUGGCACAGGUUAAGGCGAAAGCAUCUUCUUAUGUAAAAACUGACGUUGAAGGACGAAGGCUUUGUGUCUCGAACAGGAUUAGAUACCCUAGUAGUCUAAGCAGAAAAUGAUGAAUGUCAUAGAUUAGAUUUAAUUUGAUCUGUAAAUGAAAGUGUAAGCAUUCCACCUCAAGAGUAAUUUGGCAACAUUGGAACUGAAAUCAUUAGACCGUUUCUGAAACCAGUAGUGAAGUAUGUUGUUUAAUUUGAUAAUCCGCAAAAAACCUUACCACAAUUUGAAUAGAUAUAUUUUAUCAUACAAGCGUUGCACGGCUGUCUUCAGUUAAUGUCGUGAGACUUUGGUUAGUUCCAUUAAAUUAACGUAAACCCUUACUUUAUUUUAAAAUAAAGUAGUUCACCGCUAUAUUGGAUGUGAUAAUAGGGACAAGACAAGACAUCAUGACCUAAAUAUUGUGGGC